rnacentral:misc_RNA from 1 species
UUGACUUCAAAAGUGCAUUGUUAUGAUGAAGUAAGAAUGGCGGACGUUGUCAUUUUUGGAUAUCUGUUCACAUUUUUAGUGAUAAGUGGUUGUUACGGACAGCGAGGCUUGGACACCUUUGAUGAUGAGGCAGCAAUACAAACAACCCAUGGGCCCACAGUACAGAAGACGAGUCAUGUUUCCUUUGAUCAGAUGAUGGUACACCAACCCAGAUACAAAUGUUACCAAUGUGAGUCUUCGGACUGCUUCGAAGACGGAUUGGAGCACGUCUGCCACGAAGCGCUGUACUGCUUCAAAUCAUCAGUGCGGACGCUCGAUGGUAGCUUACAGCAUUCCAGGGGAUGCACGCAGAGGAGUGACCACUCUCAGUUCACUUGCAGGACUAAUAGGCUGCAGAAAGGGCCUCGCAAACGCCACGCCGGCCAGCUGAACAUCACAUGCUGUACUGGGGACAUGUGCAACGACGGAGACUUCCCCCAACUGCCGCCCGUGGAGGACACCUCCAUAGAGCCUGUGCCGUCGCAGGUCACCCGGCUGUGGGCCAGCGUGGCGGCCGCCGUGCUGGUGGUGGGCGGGAUAGCCGCCAUGGGGGUGUUCGUGCUGAGAAGGAGUCACAGAUUACGCGUCUCCCGCGCAGCUCUGCACAAAUUGGGCGAAGAUUCCAACUAUUUUUCUAGCAACGUUUACAGUCCGCCUAGUGCUUAUUACGAAGGCGUGGAAGGCUCUCAAAAUGGCGGCGGUCUACGCGCCGUGGCGGCCGGUGACUCCACGCUGAGAGAGUAUCUGGAAUGCUCCGUAACGAGUGGAUCCGGGUCUGGAUUGCCACUAAUGGUUCAACGGACGCUCGCCAAGCAGGUCUCUCUCAUUGACUGCGUCGGGAAGGGCCGCUACGGCGAGGUGUGGCGCGGCUCGUGGUACGGGGACGCCGUGGCCGUCAAGAUCUUCUUCUCCCGCGACGAGGCCAGCUGGCGGCGCGAGACCGAGAUCUACAGCACCGUGCUGCUGCGGCACGAGCACAUCCUGGCCUACAUCGGCAGCGACAUGACCAGCAGGAACAGCUGCACGCAGUUGUGGCUCAUCACCCAUUAUCACCCGCUGGGCUCGCUGUACGAGCACCUGAACAGGUGCACCCUGACCCGUCAUCAGAUGAUGGUCAUCUGUCUGUCUGCCAUCAACGGACUGCUGCAUUUGCACACAGAGAUACACGGCACACAGGGCAAACCGGCCAUAGCUCACCGGGACAUCAAAACCAAGAAUAUCCUGGUGAAAGUGAACGGAGAAUGUUGCAUCGCAGACCUUGGGCUGGCGGUGACCAGGGCCCACGUGGCUUCUAAGCAGCACAAUAACCCCAGGCAGGGCACCAAGCGUUAUAUGAGCCCGGAGAUGUUGGAUCAGAGGUCAGUGUUACAGCGGAGAUGUUGGAUCAGAGGUCAGUGUUACAGCGGAGAUGUUGGAUCAGAGGUCAGUGUUACAGCGGAGAUGUUGGAUCAGAGGUCAGUGUUACAGCGGAGAUGUUGGAUCAGAGGUCAGUGUUACAGCGGAGAUGUUGGAUCAGAGGUCAGUGUUACAGCGGAGAUGUUGGAUCAGAGGUCAGUGUUACAGCGGAGAUGUUGGAUCAGAGGUCAGUGUUACAGCGGAGAUGUUGGAUCAGAGGUCAGUGUUACAGCGGAGAUGUUGGAUCAGAGGUCAGUGUUACAGCGGAGAUGUUGGAUCAGAGGUCAGUGUUACAGCGGAGAUGUUGGAUCAGAGGUCAGUGUUACAGCGGAGAUGUUGGAUCAGAGGUCAGUGUUACAGCGGAGAUGUUGGAUCAGAGGUCAGUGUUACAGCGGAGAUGUUGGAUCAGAGGUCAGUGUUACAGCGGAGAUGUUGGAUCAGAGGUCAGUGUUACAGCGGAGAUGUUGGAUCAGAGGUCAGUGUUACAGCGGAGAUGUUGGAUCAGAGGUCAGUGUUACAGCGGAGAUGUUGGAUCAGAGGUCAGUGUUACAGCGGAGAUGUUGGAUCAGAGGUCAGUGUUACAGCGGAGAUGUUGGAUCAGAGGUCAGUGUUACAGCGGAGAUGUUGGAUCAGAGGUCAGUGUUACAGCGGAGAUGUUGGAUCAGAGGUCAGUGUUACAGCGGAGAUGUCGGAUUAGAGGUCAGUAUUACAGCCGAGAUGUCGGAUUAGAGGUCAGUGUUACAGUGUAGUUUUGCCAUAGCUCACCGGGACAUCAAAACCAAGAAUAUCCUGGUGAAAGUGAACGGAGAAUGUUGCAUCGCAGACCUUGGGCUGGCGGUGACCAGGGCCCACGUGGCUUCGAAGCAACACAAUAACCCAAGGCAGGGCACCAAGCGUUAUAUGAGCCCGGAGAUGUUGGAUCAGAGCAUAAACCUGGAGUGCUUCGAGUCGUACCUGAAGUGCGACGUGUACGCCUUCGCCCUGGUGCUCUGGGAGGUGUCCCGGCGC